GUCCAGUGUCGUCAUUUCGUUUAGCAGGUCACACUAAACAAAAAAAUCGGCGUAGUCAACUCGCAGAAAUUUACAAUGACAGUUGUGCUGCAGAAAAAUAUUCUACUGAUCAUGACUAUCUUGUUUGUGUUAUGCCUGUUUGUGUCGGCUCAGUCCAGGACGGAACGAGAGGAUUUGACCAGGCAUCGGGUGUUUCAAAGGCUUCGACAAUUUUUCGGCUUAGGCGAUGAGUGAUUUUUUAAUAGAACAUAUUAUAUUUAGUGUCUAGUGUGGAAUAAAACGGAAAGCUUUCA